rnacentral:rRNA from 1 species
UACGAAGGGGGCUAGCGUUGCUCGGAAUCACUGGACGUAAAGCGCACGUAGGCGGCUUUUUAAGUCAGGGGUGAAAUCCUGGAGCUCAACUCCAGAACUGCCUUUGAUACUGAGAAGCUUGAGUCCGGGAGAGGUGAGUGGAACUGCGAGUGUAGAGGUGAAAUUCGUAGAUAUUCGCAAGAACACCAGUGGCGAAGGCGGCUCACUGGCCCGGUACUGACGCUGAGGUGCGAAGGUCAGAGGAGCAAACGGG